rnacentral:rRNA from 1 species
AUGAAUAAGUGGUGGGCAAGACCGGUGCCAGCAGCCGCGGUAAUACCGGCGCCACGAGUGGUCAGGAGGAUUAUUGGGCCUAAAGCAUCCGUAGCCUGCUUUGUAAGUUUUCGGUUAAAUCCAUAUGCUCAACAUAUGGGCUGCCGGGAAUACUGCACAGCUAGGGAGUGGGAGAGGUAGACGGUACUCGGUAGGAAGGGGUAAAAUACCUUUGAUCUAUUGAUGACCACCUGUGGCGAAGGCGGUCUACCAGAACACGUCCGACGGUGGGGGAUGAAAGCUGGGGAGCAAACCGGAUUAGAUACCGGGUAGUCCCAGCUGUAAACUAUGCAAACUCAGUGAUGCGUUGGCUUGUAGCCAGUGCAGU